rnacentral:SRP_RNA from 1 species
GCCAGGCAUGGUGGCGCAUGCCUGUAGUCCCAGCUACUCAGGAGGCUGAGGCAGGAGGAUUGCUUGAGCCCAGGAGUUCAAGGCUGCAGUGAGCUAUGAUUGCACCACUGUACUCUAGCCCGGGUGACAGAGCAAGACCCUGGCUAAA